GACGAACGCUGGCGGCGUGCUUAACACAUGCAAGUCGAACGGAAAUGCCCUGCUUUUGUGUUGUGCUCGAGUGGCGAACGGGUGAGUAACACGUGAGUAACCUGCCCUUUACUUUGGGAUAACUUCAGGAAACUGGGGCUAAUACCGGAUAGGAUCUCCUGCUGCAUGGUGGGGGUUGGAAAGUUUCGGCGGUUGGGGAUGGACUCGCGGCUUAUCAGCUUGUUGGUGGGGUAGUGGCUUACCAAGGCUUUGACGGGUAGCCGGCCUGAGAGGGUGACCGGCCACAUUGGGACUGAGAUACGGCCCAGACUCCUACGGGAGGCAGCAGUGGGGAAUAUUGCACAAUGGGCGGAAGCCUGAUGCAGCAACGCCGCGUGCGGGAUGACGGCCUUCGGGUUGUAAACCGCUUUCGCAUGUGACGAAGCGUGAGUGACGGUAAUGGGUAAAGAAGCACCGGCUAACUAUGUG
rnacentral:rRNA from 1 species